ensembl:lncRNA
GUUCUCUUACCUUUUGGAAAUUUGAAAUAUAGAAUAUAUUGUCGUUUCACACUUGCACCUCCAUAUUAUAAAAGCCUACUUGAGCUAAGAAAUGCCUUGUUACAUCAACGUUAACUCUUAAUUAAUGAUUCUUGACUCCAUGUUUGAAUUUUGUAUGUUGAUAAGCAGUCUAAAAAUACAUUAAAUUGAUUUACAGUAAUACUAAGAAAACGUUUUAAAUUAAAAACAACUAUGUUUAUUUAUUUAUUUAUUAAAUCUUAAAUCUUUGUAAAGAAAUCUAUUACUUGUUUAUCAACUUAUUUAUUUAUGCAUCUAAUUUAUAUUAUCAUACAUUGUUUAUUCAUUUAUAUAUUUAUAUUUUUUUAUAAAUCUGUGGUUGUGUUGAAGUACAGAACAUGUCGUCCUUAAUGAGAUACACAGAUAUGAUAUAAUUACACCCCCCCCCAUGACAUGUACUACUUUGUUAACACCAACUUAAAACCUCACCAUUACCUUCAGUCACAAUAAACAUUAGUUAGACCAUGCAUGACAUAACAAUGCAUGUACACUCUUCCCUCCAUUUACACCAAGCAGCAAUACACUCAAGCCUUGAUAGAUCCAUUGACAGUAAUGUCACGAUUGUUAUUUUAGCAUGGGUGAGUGAUAUCAGCAGUGGAAGAGAGUUGUCAGUGAAGAAUGCCCAGAAUGCAACCUCCUCUGCCAGCUGCGUAAAGGACACACACACACACACACACGUGUUUGGUUGGGGAACUUUGGCUGGACAUUUCUCAGCUGUCUUUUUAGCCAUCAUUCAAAGACAGUGUUACUGUGUGUGUUUGUACGGGUGUAUGUGUGUCUGUGUUCAUCUUUGUCAUCCAAGUGCUGCCAGUAUGUGUCCUGCUUGUUGAACCACACACAAACUUACUCUUCUUGUAGGUUACCAGAUGCUGAAUGCUUGAGGCCCUCUCUAUCCCUCCCCUUUCUCUCUCUUUCUCUCUCUCAAAAUUCUGCUCCCUCUCUCACAUGCAGCCUCCAGGAGAUGAGUUGAUUCGUUUUGGGAGGUGUCCAAGAACAGAAUGAGAGGCAGAAGAGAGAAAAAGAGAAGGGAGAAUGAAAGACAAUGAGAGAGAAAGAAUGAUAGAGAGAGACAAACAGAGGCAGCCCAUGGCGUGAUGCAGAAUGAGCCUGCACAGAUAUGGAGAGAUUAGCCAGCCGCUGCUAUAACACUGGCCUGUUUUUAUGACUGCUAAAGCCUCUGGCAGCAGCUAAAGCCACUCUCAUGGGCUCCAAAAGCCCCGGCGUCUCCUGCGGCUCACAAAGACAGAAUAGAGACAAUGAAGAAAACAGGUUAGUUACAUUCGACGUGAAUCUGCUUCCCUAAAGUCCCAUCGAUGCUGUCGUAAGCACAAGUGAAUCCAACAAGAUGGAGCAGAGCACCACAAAUGCUGACAAGUAACACAAUUUCAGUGGAAUGUCAGUUGCAUCGAAUGCAAGAUGUGCUCUAUUUCAUUACAUGUCUGAAGCAUUUAAGGGUGUGUUGACGGGGCAGGCAGUAAUGCUCACUUCAGGCCUCCAUGUUGAAAUCCGACUGCUGGAUUUGGUCCUCGAUUUGUUUCUCGGUUAUCACAAAUCAUUUUAGUCUUCGUGGCCACCUUGGCUUUAAAGUUAUUAGAGUGGUGGAGGUCUCAUGGUGUUGCACUUUCUCUGGCCUGCUGUAAGGAAUUUGUCAAAUUACACUGGGUGAUUAGAUUGUUUGGGUGUCACAAACCAUAGUAACAGAGCUGUAGCACCAUGUUAGAGUCUAGCAUACUUCGAGAUUUAGUUGGGUCACAUAUUGUAUAAACUCACUCAAAGAGUCAUUUUGAACAGUACACAGUACCAAAAUGUCCUGAAAACUGAAACUGUGCUUUCUCAACUGGCCUCUGGUCCAAUGAUAAAGCUUUCAAUUGUUUAGCUUUUUCCAUCCGUAAAACAUGUUAACUAACCAACAAGUGCAACAGCAAAUGCAGAAACACGAGUAAUUUCAGAAAAGAGCAGUAAAACAACAGUAAAAACAAAAAUGCGACCACAAAUUCAGAAAAGCAACAUUAACUCAUAAGGGUAGCCUGUUAUUGACAUCAUAUACUUAAUCACAAGUGGGAAAAAACAACACUUUUUGUGUUUUUAGUUUUGCUGUUGUGUUUGUGUUUUGUAUUGUUGAGGUGUUUUUGAUUGGCUGUUGUGUUUUUAGUUCCCUUUCAACGGGAACUCAACGUUGCGUGAACUUCAGGCUGUGUGAGUGCCUUCAUGCAUGACCGGUAUCUACAGUCUGUGUAAAAUCGUGCCAAUUUAAAGGCUUGCCGUGGCCAGGUGACUAUAAACGGCUUCUGUAAACCACGUCAUCAACUUGUUUGUCUUCAGCCAAGCCACAUGUCUGUUGUCUGUGUGAACAAGCAUUGAAAAAACCCUUCACUUCUCUCUGUUUAACUGCUUUUCUAAUAUAUAUACAAAUAUAUUUUUUCUCUUCUGUCAUUAUCCUGUGGAAACAGAAUGAGUCCCUGCUCUCCUUAUAUUACAGAGGGGGAUGGACACAUUUUUUGUGCGAAGUAUCUGGGAGUGCAGCAUGCUGAAGAAGCCCUUGAGGGAGCUGACUGAACUCAUCGUGAACGCUUCACAAUGAACCAGCUCGGCUCUCUUUCUUCUCAGCCGAAAGGAGAUUGGAACCUCAGGGCUCUGGGCUGGCUGCUGCCGAGGCCACCAGCCGGCUCAGAUUCUGGGGGUCUCAUAUGGAUCUGGAGGAGGAUCCGGGGUGCUGUUCUAUCUCUUGCUCUUUCUUCCAGAUCUGACUCUCCACUACUGGGUUUUGGAGCUCGAAAAGUGACUUCUACUCCCGGUAUGGAGAGCCAACCCACCCUCUCUGACUCUGAGGAGCCAGAGGGGGGAGCCAAUGCAUUAAAAUUGGAGAGCAGCUCUCAUUUUAUAAAGUGCUGCUCAAAGUGAUCACUAGGGCAGUUGAUGCUAGGACAAUAGUAUGUGGCUAAUUUUAGAUCUGCGUCAUCUGAACCGAAGUCUUGAGACAUACAGGUUCAAGAUGUUGAUGCUCAAACUUAUCGUUCCACAGAUUCAGUUCAUGGCUUGGUUUGUGACAAUAGGUCUAAAAGACAUAUUUUUACAUAGAAAUAUUGCCCAGUCACAGGAAGUUCCUGAGGUUCGCGUUUGGAGGCAAUGCGUAUCAAUAUUGAGUUCUUCCCUUCGGUCUAACUUUAUCCCAGCUCACCUUCAUGAAGUGCAUGGAUGCUGCACUGGCUCCAUUGCGACUCCAGGGCAUCCGUGUACUAAACUACUUGGACUACUGUUUAAUUCUAGUGUGGUCCAGGGAGUUGGUGAUUCAACAUGAAGAUGAUGUUCUCACCCACAUAAGGAGCUUGGGGCUCAGGUUGAACCUCGAGGAAAGUAUGCUUUCUCCAGUUCAGAGGAUGACUUUUCUAGGACUUAUAUGGGAUUCAAAUAGGAUAGAGUGGGCGGGUGGGGGCUACCUCCUCAAGGCUUUACCCUUACAGGAUGUGUGUGCUGUGGCGGGAUGGUCUACGCCACACACAUUCAUUCGAUAUUAGAGGUUGGUCGAGGAUCUUGCGGGGACCCUCAAACCCAGACCUUUUUUGUACAGGCCAUACCGUCAGUAUGACAGAGUGGGUAUACUCAUACCCACAGCGUGAGGCUCACGCAACUUUGAGUUACUUUUGAAAGACAACAUCUGGGUUACGCAUUAACACAACCUGUUCCCUGAGAAGGUAACGAGACUUUGCGUAGAUUUGUUAUACUGGGGCAUGCCUGUGAAUCGCAUCUUCGCUUCAGAUAAUGGAGGCUGAUGACGUUGUUUACAGGUGCCGUUUUAUAAUCACGUGACACGUGAAAUGUCAUGUCAUCUGACCACUGCAGGCCUAUAUAUAGGUAUGAUUUCACACAGACUUCAGAUGCCGGUCACGUGUGAGGGCGCUUCCCACAACAUGAAGCUCAUGCAAUGUUUCAUUCUCUUCUCAGGGAACAGGGUUACAUGCGUAACCCAGACGUUUUCCUGUUCUGUUUUUAGAUUUGCUGUUGUACUUUUGGUUUUGUUGUUGUCUUGUUUUGUUAUGCUGUUUUUUUUUAUUAUUUGCUAUUGUGUUUUUAGGCAUGCUGUUGUGUUUUUGAUUUGCUGUUGGGUUUUUAGUUUUGCUGUUGUUUAUUCCUAAGUUUUUAUUUGUUGCUAUUCAGUGGACAAAUGGCCAAACAUGUAAUGGCUUACAUAUUUUCACCUAAUAUAUGUUAUAGUAGCAUUUAUAAUUGAGUGCUAUUAGUAUGUUUAAUACGUAUAUAGCUCAUGCGUGUACUCAUCAUGUCAUAUCAUUUAAUUUUAGAGAAUUUUGUAUUUCAUAACAUUUCAUCUUUUGAGAGUCAUAUUAAGACAUCAUGUUGUGUGAGUGCAUGUGUUGGGGCUGGAGGCUAGAUGACAGAAUUAUUAAUAGAUAUUUUAAUUAUUCCCUAGUUAGCCUCAGGCAUCAAGGCCUUCAGUAGAACAUGCUUACACUACAGAACAUUCUGACAGAACAGCAACCAUGAUGGAUCAAUUGAAGAUUCAUCAAAUCUCUGCUCACAAACACGGGGGUAAGCAUGCAUGUAAAUACGCACUCAUACACACACCUGUCUUUCUCUCACACUGCCUUUUAUUCUCGCCAUCCAUCUACGAAUGCACACGCACACCUCAGCAACCAUGUUUGCACGACUGCACACUGUGGACGUCCAACUUAUAGUAUACUGCAGGACUAAAUAUAUCGCUUUAUUAAUAUAACAAAUGACACUAAGCUGAUUUGAUUAAUCUUUAAUUCGAACUCUAACACCGUGUUGUUAACACUAUUAGUCUAUUGAGCAUUUUUAUUUCAUUUCUUCGCUUAACAGAUCAGUUAAGUGCUUCCAUUUUAAAAGAUGCAUUCUGUAUUCAAUUUAGCAGGCCUGCGAUGGACUAAUUCACCAUCAUGAGAACGCCACGUACUCGCUCUAGUCCUCGUUUCUCUUUUUUCCCCUCAUUUAAUCUCCCCUUCUUUUAUUUCCUUUAUUUCACACAAGAGAUGCUCAGUCACUCUCCUCAGCAUCUUCCCUCCUGCUCUCUCCAUCACUCCUACCUGCUUAAUUCCCCUUUAACGGGCUGCGCCAAAGUCGUUAGCUGAUUAAAACACUUAAUUGGGCCCUGCAGAAUAAGGUGGAGGGAUCAAGACUGAAGUUAUGGGAAACAGGAAGUUUAAUGAUGCCAUUUCUGCAGGGUUUGUUCUCUCAUUACCACAUGAUAGUAAGACAUUUCUGUAUAAUGUCAUAUACUAUUAGCUACUAUUACAUUAGCUAUUAUUAUGGACAUGUAUAUUAGCUACGAUUACAUACAGUAUACAUAGUACAUAGGUGUUAUAUAGAACAGGAUAUGUGACCUAAAACAUGAUGGGGCAUGCUGUUACAGAAAAGUAAUCAAUGCGGCCAGUCAUGAAGCAGACUUACUGGUACAACCCUGAAGUGGAUUAAUGUCCUAUAAUAGCACAUAUCGAAGUGCUUUAUUUCUCUUAUACCACAGCAAUUGUUAAGGAUUACAGUUUUUUAAAUAAUGAAAGACCCAUUGUAUUUUUAACCAUUAUUUAUUUAUUUAUUUAUUUAUUUAUUGACAGAUUUCUCACAUGCUUGAGAAUUUCUAUCUUAGCGAAACAGUCUAAUCAAUGAAAGGUGUUACAUGUCAUACUUUUAUCCAUUUUAGUUGGAUUUAAUGCUCAGAAAUGUGGCAGCUAUAAACAGUUGUUUAUUCACUUUCUCUUGAACUUAUAAAGGAACCACAAACCAUAAACCCUUCUGUCCUGAAGAUGGUCCAAUGUAUGAAAACGUAAAGGUACAGCUUUACUUCUGACUGUUACAGUGUGCUGACACUGGAGACUCCUUCCAUAAAUGAAAAAUAAGUGUCUUCACCAUAUAACAAUUAGACAUUUAUAUUAAUUAAAUAAAACACACUUUUAAAUUUGUUUGUUAGUAGGUUUAGAUAAUAUGGAGUGUCUGCCAUGCAAUCUCUUGUGAAUUAGCUGUUACGAUAGAAACAAUUGCAUUAAAAUAAUUGCAUUAAUAUUACUUCACAGCUGUAACUACUGUCCGAUCUUUAAAGAAAACGAAUCAAUAGCUUCUGAGCAGAUUUGAGAAUUCAGCAGUGCAUAGUUGUAAAUAUCAUAUAUGCUGUAUAUAAUGCUAUAGUAUUACAGUAAAAAAGAAAAAAAAAGUAACAUACAAGUUCCAUACAGGCAUAACUCUGAUCAGUGCUAUGACUGUGUGUGUUUGAAACAUGGACAAGCACUGCUCUGUGCAUAGACCACCGGUGAGAGGUGAAGACUGUGGGAUGAAUGACAAUGGGAAAGCGAUUCACCCCAGAGGCACUAAAUGGGUGCAAGUCUGGGUCAAGAGGCAACGGGUGAAGUCUUCAUUCAUGGAGAAGUCAAAGGAAAAGCCUGGCAACUAAACAAACGAGUGCCAGAGCUCCUCCUUAUGUUUACACACAUGAGGACAUGGCUUACAUAUGACUCCAGUUUGGACGUGGAGUGCAAUGAAUUAAAAAAUAUAUAUAUAUUGUUUAAAUAAAAAGGUCUGGAUAAAAGACUGGAAAAAUGGGAUUUAUUCUCUAAAUAAUACUGCAGGCUUUGUGUUUAUUUAGUUGGUGGAUGAAAACAGCAUCUUUAUGAGAGAAUGAAAGACACAGACCGAGAAAGAGGCACUGAAAAGGCUGUUUGGGGGCAAAUCUUUCAUUACGGUAGAGAGAAAUGCAUUUGUGGAUUUGGGCAUUGGGCAAGUGUGCUAUUACUGAUGAAAAAAAAACAUUGUGAUCAAUGGAGAGGAGAAGAGUGAACUCUGUCAGCUGCAGGGAGAUCACACACACACACACACACCCACACACACACACACACACACACACACACACACUGUCAGAUUAUUGAGAACACAAACACGUCCUACACACACUCACUGACACACAGAUGGAGCAGAGACAGAGUAUGACAUUUAAAGGGAGAAAGCUGACAUUGAGUCCAUCACUGUCACUGUGCCUGCCAUAAAGCAGCAGCAAAUAUUAAAACAUUUUUCAUCUGCGCUGCAUUAUUGGCACCAGAAAUUGUUUUCCUCUCUGUCUGAUAUUCGUCUGAACUGCGCCGCUGCUCCCUCGAGACCACAGGCUGUUACCAAGGCCUCCCAACAUAUUGGCAGUUGAUGGUAGUAUUCAUGUACACUUGCCACUCACAAGUCUUUAACCUCCCCCCUCUCUUAAUGUUGCUCAAAUCCCAGUGUUCAUGCUACGUAUGGAGACGCUGCUUGCACAGCAACAGAAAUACAUCUCGUUCUGUACAUUCUGUCAGCAUGGGCAAAAAUUCCUCCCGAUUUACACAGACAUAUGCAUUAAACAGAUCCACAUAUUUUAUCCAGUUGUUUUUUCUUUCUUUCGCCUUUGGUAUUGCCUGGCCUGCUAUCUGAUGCAUGUUUGAUUCAUGUCAUGUUCUCGUUUUCUACAGUGUCCAUCCAGCCCCCCCCCCCGACUGUGACAGUCUCUUCAGCUCAUCAUAUCUCUCAUAUACCUCUAAUUAGAUUCUUCAGUUCUGGCUGGAUACAAUCAAAAGAGCAAUACAUGCCAAUCACAUUCUUGAGUGCAGAGCAGAAUAAAUGCAUGUUUAAAGCUGAUAAUCAUAUUCCUUUGAUUAGCUUUUCAUUAAUCUCUAAUGAGGGAAGAAAAUGUUGCCAAACAUCACCAUAUGUGUUGGCUUUUGACUCAAAAACAAGGGCUUUUAGGGAAAGACAUAUAGACAUUUAGGGCAAGAAAUAUAGUGCAUCUAUACCAUGCGUCUUCUUAAACUUUUGUAAUACAAAUCUCAAAGCGCAAUAGAAAUAUGUGGUUUUACAGCUUUUGUCCACUUGCAACCAUUAUAAGAAAGAUAGCAACUUUGAAGAAGUCUUUAAACUCCACCCACUUGGCACAAUCCCAUCGUGUCAUUUAAUAUGUCUCGGAAAACAUUGUUUCCUGAUAAAUUUGUGAAAUAAUGUGUCAUUAAAUAACACUAACUAGAGUGGAAACACAUCAUUUUUUUCAAUUCUCUUUUUUUUUUGAUAUUCAGUCUCAAUUUCUAGAACUGUAUUCAAAAUGUCGAUAAUUUAUAUUAGAUUUCAUACUGAAAAACUAAAGCUAAGAAUGUUGCAAUGUUUCUUCUUUCAACACAAUUUACAUUCUCUAAAAGCCUCCCUCUAAAAAGUGUUUUCACAGUAAAAAAAAAAAAAAAAAUGCAAAUGCAUGCAUAUUUAAAUAGAUAAAGAAUUAUUUGCAUAGAUAAAUGUAGACUUUUUGUUUUCAAUACAAAAAUGCUUGUUCCAAUAGUAAAAAAGAAAUACUUUCCUCACAUAUCCUCAAUCAACUGGAUUAAUGCUGAAAAGAUUCAUUGUUUUGUAAAAUUACCUUAAUCAACUCUAAUGUCUUUUGUGUGCAGUGGUAGUUCAGUGGUUAAAGCUAAAUGUGUGCAGAGGUGGCUCAGUGGUUAAAGGAACACUCCAGUGCUUUUCAAGCUAAUCUCUGGGUUAUGGUGGAUCUGGAGCCUAUCCUGGGAGGACUGGAUAUGAGGAGGGACUACAGUCUAGAUUGACCGCCAGUCCAUCCCAGAGCUCCAUGCACACACACAUUCACACCUAGGGUUAAUCUGAAGUCACCAAUAUGGAAUCGCCAGUAUGGAGUGUACCUGAAGGAAACCAAUAUGAGCAUGAGCAUGAGCAGAAGAAGCAAAUCUUCACAUAAACAUUAACCCAAGCUCAGGAUUGAACCAGC